rnacentral:rRNA from 1 species
GAUGAACGCUAGCGGCGUGCCUAAUACAUGCAAGUCGAGCGAACAGAUAAGGAGCUUGCGCCUUUGACGUUAGCGGCGGACGGGUGAGUAACACGUGGGUAACGUACCUAUAAGUCGGGGAUAACUUCGGGAAACCGGAGCUAAUAGCGGAUAACAUUUGGAACCGUAUGGUUCUAAGGAGAAAGAUGGCUGUGCUAUCACUUAUAGCUGGACACGGGCCGUAUUAGCUGGUUGGGAAGGUAACGGCUUACCAAGGGAACGAUUCGUAGCCGACCUGAGAGGGUGAUCGGCGACACUGGAACGUAGACAGGGACCAGACUACUACGGGAGGCCGCAGAAGGGUACCUGCGGCAGUGGGCGAAAGCCUGACGGAGCGAGGCCGAGUGUGUGAUGAAGGGGUCCGGUGCGUAAAACCGUCUUAUGAGGUAAGAACCGCCGUCUAAUGAACUGAGGCGGUCGUGACGGUACCUAAUAAGAAAGCCACGGCUAACUACGUG